rnacentral:rRNA from 1 species
GACGAACGCUGGCGGCGUGCUUAACACAUGCAAGUCGAACGGAAAGGCCCUGCUUUUGUGGGGUUCUCGAGUGGCGAACGGGUGAGUAACACGUGAGUAACCUGCCCUUGACUUUGGGAUAACUUCAGGAAACUGGGGCUAAUACCGGAUAGGAGCUCCUGCUGCAUGGUGUGGGUUGGAAAGUUUCGGCUGUUGGGGAUGUACUCGCUGCUUAUCAGCUUGUUGGUGGGGUAGUGGCUUACCAAGGCUUUGACGGGUAGCCGGCCUGUGAGGGUGACAGGCGAAAAGGGGAAUGAGAGACGGAGCAGAAGGCAACGGGAGGCAGCAGUGGGGAAUAGUGCAAAAUGGGAGGAAGCGUGAAGCAGAAACGCAGCGUGCGGGAUGACGGCCUUCGGGUUGUAAACAGAUUUCGCAUGUGAAGAAGAGUGAGUGACGGUAAUGGGUAAAGAAGCACCGGCUAACUACGUG